rnacentral:rRNA from 1 species
UACACUCCUACGGGAGGCAGCAGUGGGGAAUAUUGCACAAUGGGCGCAAGCCUGAUGCAGCCAUGCCGCGUGUAUGAAGAAGGCCUUCGGGUUGUAAAGUACUUUCAGCGGGGAGGAAGGCGAUAAGGUUAAUAACCUUGUUGAUUGACGUUACCCGCAGAAGAAGCACCGGCUAACUCCGUGCCAGCAGCCGCGGUAAUACGGAGGGUGCAAGCGUUAAUCGGAAUUACUGGGCGUAAAGCGCACGCAGGCGGUCUGUCAAGUCGGAUGUGAAAUCCCCGGGCUCAACCUGGGAACUGCAUUCGAAACUGGCAGGCUAGAGUCUUGUAGAGGGGGGUAGAAUUCCAGGUGUAGCGGUGAAAUGCGUAGAGAUCUGGAGGAAUACCGGUGGCGAAGGCGGCCCCCUGGACAAAGACUGACGCUCAGGUGCGAAAGCGUGGGGAGCAAACAGGAUUAGAAACCCGGGUAGUCCCAUG